CACGUAGGGCGCAAGCGUUGUCCGGAAUUAUUGGGCGUAAAGAGCUCGUAGGUGGUUUGUUACGUCUGCUGUGAAAACCUAGGGCUUAACCCUGGGCUUGCAGUGGAUACGGGCAGACUAGAGGUAGGUAGGGGAGAAUGGAAUUCCUGGUGUAGCGGUGAAAUGCGUAGAGAUGUGGAGGAAUACCGAUGGCGAAGGCAGCCCCCUGGGAUAACACUGACGCUCAUGCACGAAAGCGUGGGAGCAACAGG
rnacentral:rRNA from 1 species